rnacentral:rRNA from 1 species
CUCGCGUGUCGUGCCAGCCGCCGCGGUAAUACGUAGGGUGCAAGCGUUAAUCGGAAUUACUGGGCGUAAAGCGUGCGCAGGCGGUUGUGCAAGACAGGUGUGAAAUCCCCGGGCUUAACCUGGGAACUGCACUUGUGACUGCACAGCUGGAGUGCGGCAGAGGGGGAUGGAAUUCCGCGUGUAGCAGUGAAAUGCGUAGAUAUGCGGAGGAACACCGAUGGCGAAGGCAAUCCCCUGGGCCUGCACUGACGCUCAUGCACGAAAGCGUGGGGAGCAAACAGGAUUAGAUACCCUGGUAGUCCACGCCCUAAACGAUGUCAACUGGUUGUUGGACGGCUUGCUGUUCAGUAACGUAGCUAACGCGUGAAGUUGACCGCCGU